rnacentral:rRNA from 1 species
CCUACGGGAGGCAGCAGUGAGGAAUAUUGGUCAAUGGGCGAGAGCCUGAACCAGCCAAGUCGCGUGAAGGAAGACGGUCCUAUGGGUUGUAAACCUCUUUUAUAGGGGAGCAAAAGGCUCCACGAGUGGGGUUCCGAGAGUACCAGAAGAAAAAGCAUCGGCUAACUCCGUGCCAGCAGCCGCGGUAAUAAGGAGGAAGCGAGCGUUCUCGGGAUUUAUUGGGUUAAAAGGGUGCGAAGGGGGAAGUUUAAGUCAGCGGUAAAAUUGAGAGGCCAAACGUCACAGAGCAGUUGAAACUGGUAGUCUUGAGUGCGUGAGAAGUAGGCGGAAUGCGUGGUGUAGCGGUGAAAUGCAUAGAUAUCACGCAGAACUCCGAUUGCGAAGGCAGCUUACCGG